rnacentral:rRNA from 1 species
UACAGAGGGGGCAAGCGUUGUUCGGAAUUACUGGGCGUAAAGGGCGCGUAGGCGGCCUGUUAAGUCGAACGUGAAAUCCCCGGGCUCAACCCGGGAACUGCGUCCGAUACUGGCAGGCUUGAAUCCGGGAGAGGGAUGUGGAAUUCCAGGUGUAGCGGUGAAAUGCGUAGAUAUCUGGAGGAACACCGGUGGCGAAGGCGGCAUCCUGGACCGGCAUUGACGCUGAGGCGCGAAGGCGUGGGGAGCAAACGGGG